UCACAAGUAAACAUUUGUAUUAUCUUAUUAAGUCCUUGUAACAUGGAGUGUUUAUAAGAAGGUGUCUGUGUAGUUAACUAUUUAUA